UGGGGAAUAUUGGACAAUGGGCGCAAGCCUGAUCCAGCCAUGCCGCGUGAGUGAUGAAGGCCUUAGGGUUGUAAAGCUCUUUCGUCAGGGAAGAUAAUGACGGUACCUGAAGAAGAAGCCCCGGCUAACUUCGUGCCAGCAGCCGCGGUAAUACGAAGGGGGCUAGCGUUGCUCGGAAUCACUGGGCGUAAAGCGCACGUAGGCGGCUUUCUAAGUCAGGGGUGAAAUCCCGGAGCUCAACUCCGGAACUGCCUUUGAUACUGGAAAGCUUGAGUUCGGGAGAGGUGAGUGGAACUGCGAGUGUAGAGGUGAAAUUCGUAGAUAUUCGCAAGAACACCAGUGGCGAAGGCGGCUCACUGGCCCGAUACUGACGCUGAGGUGCAAAAGCGUGGGGAGCAAACAGGAUUAGAUACCCUGGUAGUCCACGCCGUAAACGAUGGAUGCUAGCCGUUGGACAGCUUGCUGUUCAGUGGCGCAG
rnacentral:rRNA from 1 species